CUACGGUGAAUACGUUCCCGGACCUUGCACACACCGCCCGUCAAGCCAUGGAAGCCGGGUGUACCUAAAGUCGGUAACCGUAAGGAGCCGCCUAGGGUAAAACUAGUGGCUGGGGCU
rnacentral:rRNA from 1 species